CCUAACCGCACAGAUACCUUUCUGAGGACACAACUCAACCCACAACAAGGAUAAAACAUGCAGGCCCCGGAGUGACCCAGCCCAAGAGGGCGGGAGAAAACUGCAGGUGGGAUGACACCCACCUUGUUCCCCGGUGUCUAGAAAAGGAUUCGCUCGGAGGAUGUACUCAAGAAAUAUUCUUUUGAUUAAAAAAAGACCACAGCGAGAAGAGAGACUCCUGACAGUGACAUCUCAGAUCUUGUCCCUGCAGAGACGCAGACGACCCCCAAGCCCCCACCCCCAAAAGCCCUUCACGCAACCAGUGUGUCAGGAGGACCGGGCUCCAGUCCCACCACUGCUGCUGAGCAGCGGUGAAGCUUGGGUGAGGUACCUCCCCUGCCCAGGCCUCACUGGUCCUCCCUGGAAGGCGGAGAGAGCAGUGUUCACUUCACAAAGCUAACA